rnacentral:misc_RNA from 1 species
CAAAAGGAAAAACCGCAAAAGAACAAGUAGAAGUCGCUCACGAAGCUGUGAGAUAUACAUAGAAGAUCUGGAUGCUGCUGAGAACUUGGAACCUGAAAAGCCUUGCCUUCAGAAUUCAGAAAAGCAAUCUAAUAAUAUUCUUGAUAUGGAUGAUUUGAUGGAAGAGUUCUGUCGCCAGAUUCAUCACACUAGUUGCUUAACGCAUGAUCAGCAUGAUGAAGUUCACAGCCAACCAAACUGGAAGAAUUCUGACUUUGAAGAAAAAUUGAGUGAGGCAAUCAAAAUUUUUAUAAGUCAGAGGCUCAUCAAUGGGAAACAUGUUACAGGUGAUGAGGAAAUAUUCCCUUCCAAAGAGCUCAAGGAUGCACUCAGGAUUCUAAGUUCUGAUGAGGAAUUAUCUCUGAAACUCUUACAAGGUCCAAAGUCGGUAAUGGUGAAAUAUGUUGAGAACUUGUGGAAUGCUCACAUAGGAAAAGAUAACGUCCCAAAGCCACUUUCAGGAUCAAACUUGUCAGGACAGGAGAUUCAUGGCUUAAAACAGUCUGAUGAGGUUAUCCAUGGUAAACAG